rnacentral:rRNA from 1 species
UACGUAGGGUGCAAGCGUUGUCCGGAAUCAUUGGGCGUAAAGCGCGCGUAGGUGGCCUCAUAAGUCCGCUGUGAAAGUCAAAGGCUCAACCUUUGAAUGCCGCUGGAUACUGCUUGACUUGAGUCCGGAAGGGGCGAGUGGAAUUCCUGGUGUAGCGGUGAAAUGCGCAGAUAUCAGGAGGAACACCAAUGGCGAAGGCAGCUCGCUGGAACGGUACUGACGCUGAGGCGCGAAAGCGUGGGGAGCGAACAGG